rnacentral:lncRNA from 1 species
UUCAUUCGUAAUUUACGGUACCGACUCUGUUACCAUUUUUACACACCAGUAUCGGUACCAAAUUAUAUGUGACGCCCCCAAAAUAGGUAUACAACACCCAUUCUGAGUCGCCAAAAUACAUGGUAUAGAAAGCAAACUACAACUUUGAUAAUACAGAUGUCGUGUAGAAUACGACAAUACAACUGUGAGUUUAAAUACAAAUAUUGUCUUCUAGACAAUAUAC